AUUGAACGCUGGCGGCAGGCCUAACACAUGCAAGUCGAGCGAGAGGGGGACGGGUGAGUAAUGUCUGGGAAAAAGCCUGUGGGAGGGGGAGAAAUCUAGGAGACGCUAGAGCAUACAGCGUACCAUCAGAUGUGCGCCGAUGGGGGUAGCUAGUGGGUGGGGUAAUGGCUCACCUAGGCGACGAUCCCUAGCUGGUCUGAGAGGAUGACCAGCCACACUGGAACUGAGACACGGUCCAGACUCCUACGGGAGGCAGCAGUGGGGAAUAUUGCACAAUGGGCGCAAGCCUGAUGCAGCCAUGCCGCGUGUGUGAAGAAGGCCUUCGGGUUGUAAAGUACUUUCAGCGGGGAGGCGUUACCCGCAGAAGAAGCACCGGCUAACUCCGUGCCAGCAGCCGCGGUAAUAC
rnacentral:rRNA from 1 species